GCAGCAUUCUGGGGAUGACAUGGAGGAGCCUGGGUCCUCAGUGAAGUUUUCCUGCAUGGCUUCUGGCUAUACCUUCACUGACCACUCUAUGCAUGUGGUAAAACAAUGAAACAGAGGCCUGGACAGGGACUGGAGUGGAUUGAAUGGGUUGGACCUACAUGUGGUGGUACUGUAUAUGCUAGGAAGUUUCAAGGCAAGGCCACACUGACUGUAGACAAAUCAGCCAUCACAACCUACAUGCAGCUCAGUAGCCUGACAUCUGAAAACUCUGCAGUCUAUUACUGUGCCAUGCAAGGAU